CAAUAGCGUAUAUUAAUGUUGCUGCAGUUAAAAGCUCGUAGUUGGAUCCCUGGUGCGGGCGUGCGGUUGAGUCUGACGAUUGGCGUCGCUCAAACUGUCCACGUCACGACCACGAUAUGUCGGUCCCCGUCGGUUGCACUUUACUGGGUGACUGUCGGUGGUACCUAGCGAUUUACUUUGAAAAAUUAGAGUGUUCAAAGCAGGGCCAGUGUGCCUGCAUACCGUUGCAUGGAAUAAUGGAAAAUGCUUUCGGUCCGAGUUGCUUGGUGCACAACUCGCGUCUGUGAUUUGUCUGUCUGAAGUUUGGUUUGUCGUCGGACUCGAAAGAAUGAUCGAGAGGGACGGACGGGGACAUCGGUAUUGCGGCGUUAGAGGUGAAAUUCUUGGAUCGUCGCAAGACCAACUAAAGCGAAAGCAUUUGUCAAGAAUGUUUUCCUUGAUCAAGAACGAAAGUCAGAGGUUCGAAGACGAUUAGAUACCGU
rnacentral:rRNA from 1 species